rnacentral:rRNA from 1 species
AGAACGAACGCUGGCGGCAUGCCUAACACAUGCAAGUCGAACGAGACCUUCGGGUCUAGUGGCGCACGGGUGCGUAACGCGUGGGAACCUGCCUUUAGGUUCGGAAUAACUCAGAGAAAUUUGAGCUAAUACCGGAUAAUGUCUUCGGACCAAAGAUUUAUCGCCUUUAGAUGGGCCCGCGUAGGAUUAGCUUGUUGGUGGGGUAAUGGCCUACCAAGGCGACGAUCCUUAGCUGGUCUGAGAGGAUGAUCAGCCACACUGGGACUGAGACACGGCCCAGACUCCUACGGGAGGCAGCAGUGGGGAAUAUUGGACAAUGGGCGAAAGCCUGAUCCAGCAAUGCCGCGUGAGUGAUGAAGGCCUUAGGGUUGUAAAGCUCGUUUACCCGGAUGAUAAUGACAGUACCGGAGAAUAAGCUCCGGACUAACUCCGUGCCAGCAGCCGA